AUUGAACGCUGGCGGCAGGCCUAAUACAUGCAAGUCGAACGGUAACAUAAAAGAAGCUUGCUUCUUUUGAUGACGAGUGGCGGACGGGUGAGUAAUAUUUGGGAAACUACCUGAUAGAGGGGGACAACAGUUGGAAACGACUGCUAAUACCGCAUAAAGCCUGAGGGUGAAAGCAGCAAUGCGCUAUCAGAUGUGCCCAAACGGGAUUAGCUAGUAGGUGAGGUAAAGGCUCACCUAGGCGACGAUCUCUAGCUGGUCUGAGAGGAUGAUCAGCCACAUUGGGACUGAGACACGGCCCAGACUCCUACGGGAGGCAGCAGUAGGGAAUAUUGCACAAUGGGGGGAAACCCUGAUGCAGCGACGCCGCGUGAGUGAAGAAGUGUUUCGGCACGUAAAGCUCUAUCAGCAGGAAGAAAAUGACGGUACCUGACUAAGAAGCCCGGCUAACUACGUG
rnacentral:rRNA from 1 species